UACGGAGGAUCCAAGCGUUAUCCGGAUUCAUUGGGUUUAAAGGGAGCGUAGGUGGCCUUAUAAGUCAGUGGUGAAAUCUUCGAGCUUAACUCGGAAAUUGCCAUUGAUACUGUAGGGCUUGAGUAUAGUUGCCGUUGGCGGAAUAUGACAUGUAGUGGUGAAAUACAUAGAGAUGUCAUAGAACACCGAUUGCGAAGGCAGCUGACGAAACUAUAACUGACACUGAGCUCGAAAGUGCGGGGAUCAAACAGG
rnacentral:rRNA from 1 species